rnacentral:rRNA from 1 species
GGCGAUCAGAUACCGCCCUAGUUCUGACCGUAAACGAUGCCAACUAGCGAUCCGCCAGUCGACUCAUCGCUCUGGUGGGGAGCUUCCCGGAAACGAAAGUCUUCCGGUUCCGGGGGAAGUAUGGUUGCAAAGCUGAAACUUAAAGGAAUUGACGGAAGGGCACCACCAGGAGUGGAGCCUGCGGCUUAAUUUGACUCAACACGGGGAAACUCACCCGGCCCGGACACCGUAAGGAUUGACAGAUUGAUAGCUUUUUCAUGAUUCGGUGGAUGGUGGUGCAUGGCCGUUCUUAGUUCGUGGAGCGAUUUGUCUGGUUUAUUCCGAUAACGAGCGAGACUCUGGCCUACUAAAUAGUUGGCACAUUGCCACUGUGUGCACAACUUCUUAGAGGGAUUUUCGGUGUUCAGCCGCACGAAAUUGAGCAAUAACAGGUCUGUGAUGCCCUUAGAUGUCCGGGGCUGCACGCGCGCUACACUGGCAAAAUCAGCGUGCUUGUCCUCCCCCGAAAGGGGUUGGUAAACCGAUGAAAAUUUGCCGUGAUUGGGAUCGGACAUUGCAAUUAUUGUCCGUGAACGAGGAAUCCCUUGUAAGGGCGAGUCAUCAACUCGUCCUGAAUACGUCCCUGCCCUUUGUA